GAUGAACGCUGACAGAAUGCUUAACACAUGCAAGUCGACUGUGGCGGACGGGUGAGGAACGCGUAAAGAACUUGCCUCAAAGAUAGGGACAACAUUUGGAAACGAAUGCUAAUACCUGAUACUGUGAGGGAGCUUUGCGUCCCAUUAGCUGAUUGGAGAGGUAACGGCUCACCAAGGCGAGGAUGGGUAGCCGGCCUGAGAGGGUGAUCGGCCACAAGGGGACUGGGAUCCGGCCCUUACUCCUACUGGAGGCAGCAGUGGGGAAUGUUGGACCAUGGACCAAAGUCUGAUCCAGCAAUUCUGUGUGCACGAUGAAGUUUUCGGAAUGUAAAGUGCUUUCAGUUGCGAAGCGGUACCAACAGAAGAAGUGACGGCUAACUACGUGCCAGCAGCCGCGGUAAUAC
rnacentral:rRNA from 1 species